GCCAUACUUUUCGAGUGUCUUCCAGAGUUUUGCAUGGUUUACUCUGUCAAAAGCCUUCUCUUGGUCUUUAACGGACGAUGUUGGACGAUGAUUCUAUAUAGGCCCUACAAUUGCAAUUUUUAAUUGACCGUGCUAUAAUCUUACAGUAGUUCAAUGGUAACAUUCGGCAUUUAUUUGUAAUGUGGUCUUAUGUUGAACUAUAUUUUGGUAUACUCCUUUACACCACAAUUCAUGGCGAUCGCACCGAAUUCCUUCUUAUUCUUAUUCUGUUUUGUGUUUUUUUCAGGGAGUUGAGGGGGGGGGGGGGGGGGGCAUUCAAAUUAAUAGAAAAACGAUGUUCAAGAAAUUUGUAGGUAUACCGAAUUAAUAUUUUGUAAUGAGUUCUCUCAGUAUUCUUUAGGUACUCCAGCAUUGGUGCCAUUAGGAUACAUUACGUAGUAGUGAUUUGUUGCCAAAUUCUUUUCUCUAUAGCUGUUAUUUUUGUUUUGUUUUACCAACAGAUUGGUAAUUCACUAAUCAGCUUGUGUAUUUUCCCAGCUUUGCUAAUCUGUGAAGGCCCAGCUGACAACUGAUAAGUUUGACUCAUGACUGUAAAUCCACAAGACUGAAUGUCAGGUCAACUACAGUGGCCCGUCUAGGUAAAGAAAGCAAAGGUGUCCUAAUAUGGGGUUGCUCACUCUAGUACAAGAUGAGGAACACCUCACUCAUUGGUGAUGGAGAUUCAAAAUCAUUCCCACUUUAUUGGCCCUCAAGCCCUAUGAUUCCAUACUCAUAAAGGAGGUGGCGUGUGUCAACCAAUGUGGCAAAACAGUAAGUCGAAAUUGAUUUUGAUUCUUACGUGUCAUGAGAAAUCAGAGUGAUUUUUUUUACAUAUACCCGAUAUCUCUCUCAGAAAAACGCCUCACUUAUACUUAGGCUAUACUUAUAGAGUGAUUAGUUCAUUGAAAACAAUGUUUUAUUCAAUUUAAGUGAAGAGAAGUAAAAAGCAAACAAUAACUGCUCUUUUAUUGAUACUAAUUUGAUUCAAAUUACAUUCAGAUCACAGAUUAGCCUAGUAUUAGUGUGAGAGAUAAUACCCCCUUCACCUUAUGCUCAUCAACCGUGCUUCAAUUCUUUUGUCAGCAGUUGACACAGGUAAAAGUACCGUUAUUGAAAAUGUAAUAAAAUAGUUUGAUGAUAGAAAAUUGCAUGUUUAGCUUUGUUUUCAUUACUGUUGAACUUUGUAAGCCUGUCACUGGUGAUUUUGUUGGCUUGAAAAAAAUACUUCCAAGAAUGACAAAAUGGUUCUAUAAAUGAAACCAGUUUUGCAUAUCAUAUCAUUUCAGUCUCAGCUCUGUACUUUGCGAAAUCUGGGAGCCAUCGAGGAAAAGAGAGGUGUAACGCUUGGAGAGAAAGCCUUUGGCGCACUGACUCAGGAGAAGAUUGGAUGUCUCCAGUCCUAUUACACAAAACCUCUGGGGUCGUUCACUGCUAAUGUAAGAAGCAGUUGUGGCCACGUUGCUGCACAACACCAGCAUAGGUGGAGACCCACAUCAUGACAGAUGCCCACUUACUGGUGACAACAACUGGUGCUUUUACAUUAUAACACAGACAGGUCAAACACAGAAGACUCAAAAUCACGCAUCAGUAGAACUGUGCCUGCGGUCCCAUUUUUAUUUUUCCUUCUUUAUCUUUAAAAAAUAUCCUUUGAACUACAGAUCCCUCGAACUACGGAUGCCUCGAACUACUGAGGCCAGUUCCAACAAAUUCGAGCUAUCUGUGUUAUACUGUACUUUUACAAAAGGCAUUACAGCCAAGGAAGCACAGCACCAUCACACAAGGGAAGGCUUUCUACCCACCUCAAACCCCUUCACUUAUGAAGCCUGUGCACCACAGAUGAGCUAAUGGAGAUCAAGUAUGUGCCUGGCGUGACACAAAAACAGAAUGGGAGUUUCCAUAUGUUCACCCCUGGUUGAAGCAGUGAGUGCCCUAAGACGGUCUUUGUGACCAAACCAAGAGUAAAAGCUGCUUUUGCUAUCAUUACUGCAGACCGGAAGUUGGGGGCCCUUGGCACCCAGACCUUUAUGCCGUUUCUGAAGUUACAGAUCUCAGCCCAAACCAUGGGGGCAUCAGAAGGGACUGUCCGCAAAUAUAGAGGGCAAAGACUGGAAUUGAGGGUGUGGCUUAGAAAAACAGGAAAGGAACCAUCUUUUAGAGGAGGAAAAUUGGACUGGCAGACGUCUCUACUGCCCAGGAAGAGGGACUGAUUAGGAAUAAAGAAGUCCUUCUGCAA